rnacentral:miRNA from 1 species
CCUGUUGCUGGGAAUUCCCA